rnacentral:rRNA from 1 species
CCUACGGGAGGCAGCAGUGGGGAAUAUUGCACAAUGGGGGAAACCCUGAUGCAGCGACGCCGCGUGAGUGAAGAAGUGUUUCGGUGUGGAAAGCUCUAUCAGCAGGGAAGAAAAUGACGGUACCUGAGUAAGAAGCCCCGGCUAACUACGUGCCAGCAGCCGCGGUAAUACGUAGGGGGCAAGCGUUAUCCGGAUUUACUGGGUGUAAAGGGAGCGUAGACGGCGUGACAAGUCAGGAGUGAAAUGCCGGGGCUUAACCCCGGAACUGCUUUGGAAACUGUGCGGCUAGAGUGCAGGUGAGGUAAGUGGAAUUCCUGGUGUAGCGGUGAAAUGCGUAGAUAUUAGGAGGAACACCAGUGGCGAAGGCGGCUUACUGGACUGUAACUGACGUUGAGGCUCGAAAGCGUGGGGAGCAAACAGGAUUAGAUACCCGAGUAGUC